rnacentral:lncRNA from 1 species
UGUGGACCAAGUUACACGCCGCCAAGUUCACUUCUGUUGUCAAUUCUGAUCUUCCCAUCACUCUAAGAACAUAUCACAAAAUAAUUUCAUAAUCUUGUAUUCAUGUUCAACAUACAUUUUUCUGACCUCUUGAGUCUUGAUAUCUGUGUGGGUUACAAUUUUAAAUAAUUGUGAUGUUUUCUCAAUGUUGUGUCCUUGACUUGACUUUGGCAAAAGUGUUUAUUAUUUUAUCAGACAAAGAAGAAUGAAAGGAGAAUGAAGAAAAUUCUUUUUAUUUUCAAGUUUUAAGUAGCAGAGAAAGAAUGAUCUCUCAACUCAAAUGAUGCCUGAGCCUGGCUGAUAAUAUUUACACAAUCUUGUGCAGGUACUUAAUGAGUCCUAAGAUGGAAUUUGUAAAAUUUUUUGGGAAGAAUAAUGAUGUUAACUCGCUUGCUGAUGGCAUAAUCAAAGAGAUUAAGCAGUAUAAAAGGUAGAAGUGCACGUGAUGCUCAUUCUACGCAGAUUUUAAACACUCAGUACCUUCAAUUUCUGCGGAUUUUAUUUUUCUUCAUUCCCAGAUCACAACUAUAUUUUCCGGAAAGGUUAAUUGUUGUACUUGGAUUGGAGAUUUGUAAGAGAUAUCCUAAAAUGUUGGGAGAAUUUUGUUUGCAAAGAUUAUGAUUUCAUUGUAAAAGCACAAUACCAUCACGGUUACUCAGUACCUUCAAUUUCUGCGGAUUUUAUUUUUCUUCAUUCCCAGAUCAUGACUAUAUUUUCCGGAAAGGUUAAAUGUUGUACUUGGAUUGGAGAUUUGUAAGAGAUAUCCUAAAAUGUUGGGAGAAUUUUGUUUGCAAAGAUUAUGAUUUCAUUA